rnacentral:tRNA from 2 species
GCAUCCGUAGCCCAGCUGGAUAGAGUACUCGGCUACGAACCGAGCGGUCGGAGGUUCGAAUCCUCCCGGAUGCACCA